rnacentral:lncRNA from 1 species
GUGAGUUGGGUCAAGUUAGCAAUAGAGGUCGGAAUUGACCCUGAAAAGUUGCAGGCUCCGAGUUUCAAUUUAGUAAGUGACUGCAAAUUUCCGACUGAGAUUGGCAGGUUACCGGAGAAAUUUGUGAAGCUAAGUCUCAAUUCCUUGAAGGAGCUUGUUCGGUUAAACUCUGGCAAAACACCGGUUAGAUUGUCGUUGUCUCCCACAUCAAGAACAAGCAUGUGGGGAAAAUGGAAAAUAUCAACGGGAAAGAUACCAGAGAAGUCGUUUUCAUUCAGAUCAAGGUAAGUCAAUUUGAACAAUUUUGACAGCUCGGUUGUGAUUGCGCCAGCAAAAACAGAGAAUGAGAGGUCAAGGCGAGAUAAACUUGAAAGAUGAGAAAUUUCAUGUGGGAUUGUGGAGCGCCGAAAGUUAUUGUCAGCCAAGUUUAGGGUCUGAAGGUGAACAAGGGUAAAGAUAUUGGAGCCAAGAGUGCCAUAGAGGUAGGCGCUGUUGAGGUGAAGGCCAAUGAUAUAACCAGUUUUUUCAUCGCAUUCGACCCCAUGCCACGAGCAGCAAUCAGUACCAUUUUCUCCCCGAGCCUUCCAAGAUUCAGUCUUUGAGUAAGCAGACGAAUCAUAAGAGGCGGACUCAUUAAGUGAAGGGCUUUGCUUAAAGUGUAACAAAACAGAUCUCUCAUGAUCGUGGCACAACAUAGCAGCAGGGGGCAUUAUGGUAUGCACCCUAGCAAUAACAUGAAGAGAGUAUAGAAGAAACAAGAAUAUGAAGUUUUUAAGACCGUCUCCAACCCAUAACACCAUUUUGGUGUGAAAAAUACACCAAUUUGGUGUGAAAACUACACCAAAUCAAAAUUUCACUCCAACCCAUCAACACCAUAUCCUAUACCAAAAAGAAUCUUUUACACAUUAAAUGGAAUAUUCACUCUUUUUAAGGUAUUUAUAUCAUUAUUGAAUUUGUACUUAAAUUUUAACAUGUUCAAUAAACAAGGACCUAAAAUAAUUAUAAAUUCAUUAAUAAAUUCAUUAAUAAAUUCAAGAGGACAACUUAAUUAUAUGAAUUCCCAUGCUCUUCCCAUAUGUGCUCGAUCAAGGCAUUGCGAAGUUCAAAAUGAGCUUCCUUAUCUUUAAUUUGUCGAUAUCUACUAAGAAAAUCUUGAAAUUCGUCAUCUCCAUUUCUUUCCAUUUCGACAGCGGCAGAAGAUGUUUCCACGUAAUCAUGUACAUGUCUCGUUCAUCCUCAACUAUCAAGUUGUGCAUGAUAAUACAUAUGUGAGGGUAUACAUAUGUGAGGUAAUUUUAAUCAUUGUGUAUUCCAUUUUUAAUCAAAUCUAUUUAAAAAACAUAUCUUCUAUAUAAGAAUAUAAAUUUAUUGAUAUUUGGAAAUAAAUAAAAAACUUGAGUAAAAUAGUAAAGAAAGAAAAUUUAAAACAAUUAUGAUUAAAGAAUAAAUAAUAUAACAUAAAACAACUUUAAUGGGACAUAGAUGGAAUAAUUUUGUUUUCAUUAACAUAUGUGAGGGUAUAGUAGGUAUUUUGGAAAACUCCAAAUUUGGUGUAAAAGUUGCACCAAAUCAAUACUUGACACCAAAUUUGGUGUCAACCAAUUCAUUUGGUGUCAACUUUACACCAAUUUGGUGUUGGGUUGGAGUGAAUUUGACACCAAAUUUGACACCAAAAUGGUGUCUUGGUGUUGGGUUGGAGUUGCCCUAAAGCUGUACGACGCCAUCGCAUAUAUGUAAAACUCUUCGACUUCUGGAAUUUAGAGUCGUUGGAUAGCUUUAUAUAUAUCACGCUAGUGUUAUAAAAAAAAACUGGGUAAUCUAAUUCACCUAGUCUUCCACUGAACAAGUUGAAUACCUUUUUUAAUUGCGUAUGAAGCAUUUUUCUUAACUUCUUCCAAGUAGUGGAGGACUUGUCAAAAUUCUAAUUCAGUUUUUCUAAUUAUGCUUCCUAGAUAAAUCGCAAUUCGAAUUCACUGAUCAUUCAAUUUGAAUAUUUUUCUUCAUCAAAACUCACAUGAGGAUUAGAUAAAUAUAAAAAGUUGUCAGGUAUUCGAAUUCACUGCGCUUUAGAUUUGAAUACUUUUCUUGAUAAAAAUAGUGUGUUUCCGGUCUAAGGACUGGAUUAAGAGGUUUGUUGUGAUUAGAAUUUAUUGGAUCUUUAACUAAACUAGUUGAAUACUUUUCUUCAUAAAAAAUAUAGUGUUUAGAUCGGAUUAAGGACUUGCAUGUUUAGAUCGGAUUAAGGACUUGCCGCAAUUCAAAUUCAGCCAGCCUUCCACAAACAGCUGAAAUACUUUCCUAAAUAAAAAAAUAUUGUGUUUUGGAAAGUACCAUGCAAGGAAAAUAAGUUAUUCAAUAAAAUUAUGUUUUCAUAUUUUUUAAAAACUAGCUUAUAACCCCUCCCAAGCACGAGUUUAAAUAAUUUUUAAUUUAUUAUAAUUAUAAUAUUUUUUUUAUUUGAUUGCAUUAUCAUAUUCUCAAUAUACUUAUAUACAUUAUCUUUAUUUAUAUAUAAUACUUUCUAGACUUUUAAUCCUAUUUUAAUUUAAUUAUUUAUAAAAAAAUAUUUUCAAAUAUAUGUUAUGAUAUGAAUUUGUUUCGAAAAUAAUAUAUUUUAUUUUAGUAAAAUCAUCGUGUUGUUUACUAUUUCUUAAGAGAUGAAACAAUAUUUUGCAAUUGCCUUAUAGGUUCCUUAAAUUUUUACUAAAAUUUAAAUUUAUAGUUGGUUUAAAAGUAAUUAAUAUAUAAAUCUAACAGGAUUUUUAAGUUAGAUAACUUGAAUUUAUAAUUAAAUCGAAACCACGUGACAAUUGAUUAUUAGUGAUAUUAGUGAUAGUGACAUCGUUAGGGCGGAUCAUAAAAGGGGCUGGGGUUGGCCCUAAGGUGAAAUUUCAGUCGACCCAUUCAUAUUUGUAUAUGUGUUAAAGUUCAUCCCGAUGAAAAAAAAUAAAAGCCAUAUUGACUAGCCAAAUUCAUAAAUUGUCUUUACUUCUUUAACACGGUUCUCUACCUUACUUUUAAUGAACAAAAAAUAUAGGUUAAACAUUUAAAAUAGGUUAGACACUUAAAAGUACGUGAUUCUUUUAAAUUGUUAUUGGACAGACUUGUGUAAUACAAAAUUAUACAUGUUUUCAUCUUUUGUAAAUGUAAAAUUUUAAGAUGUUUUUUAAAUAUGUGAUUUAUGUAUGCUCUAUAGAAUUAUAGAGUUUUUAUAUUUUUUUUAGACUUAAUAUUGAUUUCUCUUUUCCAAUUUAUUUAUAGAUUUCUAAUAGCUAAUCGUCUCAUUAUGUUUUAAUCCUGAUUUAUGGUAAUACAUAUGUACGUGUAUGGGUAUAUGCCAUUGUUUUAAGGAGUAAACUUCAGAGUUGUGGCCAAAGUUUGCACCGGUUUUCAAAAAAUUGGCCAGAGUUUCAAAUUCUCAAAGAUGGCCAAAUUUUGGCUCCACUUUUUAAAGUGUGGCUCCCGUUAAAUGUCCCUAACGAAAGCCUAACGGGAGUCACAUUUUUGAAAAGCGGGCCAAAAUUUGGCCACUUUUCUCAGAAUUUAGAACUUAUUUUUACCCUUCUGUCCGUUCCAAAUUCUCAGAAAAGUGACCAAACUUUGGUCCCCUUUUCAAAUAUUUGGCUCCCGUUAGGCUUCCGUUAGUUACAUUUAACGGCAGCCACAUUUUUAAAAAGGGAGUCAAAAUUUGGCCACGUUUCUAGAAAUUUGAAACUCUGACCAACUUUUUGAAAAUCCACGUAAACUUUGGUCACAACUUUGAAGUUUACUCUUGUUUUAAGGUUUUUCCUAUUGUAAAUAGAACAUUAUUAAUGUGCAAAUGUAUACCAACGAAAAAAGACUCUGGUUUGCCCUUGUUUAAUUCCUAUUACGUAUCUAGACUGAAAUUAUUAAUUCGAGGAAAGCUAAUAUAUUGAAGGAAACCCUCAAGACACAAGAGCCUGAAUAUAUGGUUCAUACCAUACUUGGCUUCAUUUUAUAUUUUAUUACAAGCAGAGCCGACUCUGGUACCAAGCUGCAUAUACUAAUGAAUGUGGUACCAAAAAAAUUGAAUGUUCUGGGGGCACAAUUUUUUUCUUACAAAGAAUAAAAGUGAUUGAAAAUAUAUGAAGAUGCACGAUAGAAGAUAAAAUUUAGAGGACAUCGGAUAGGAAUCUAGUUCCAGAUAUAUACUAUAGAAGAUUCAUGAAUAAAUUUGCUACUGAAAUUGCUAGAAGAAGAGUAAGAGUUCCGAAAAAUGAACUGUGUAUGCAUUUGAUUUUGAUAUAUAGUGCAACAAAUUUUAAAUUCGCUCGAGACAUCCAAUUUUUCAGGGCCGGGCCUGGUUAUAAGUGAGGGUGCCGGAGAAUAUCAUAUACUUUACACUUUACAUACAACUACAAGCUCAGACAUCUGAAACGGCAGCUAAAACUUUUCACGGUGUUUGCAUUACUGCUGAACUUUAAAUUGUAAAAGCAGUAGACACAGUGCAGAAAUAAACUUUAGGUGCAGUACUAACACAUACUUCCAACAAGAUACCUGCAUAAAACUAUAUAAACUAUGAUAUAAACAAUAACGAUUUUCCUAGUGUCUUCUAUGUGGACAUGCUAAGCACUAUAUUUUAUACGUAUAACUUAUUUUGAUUGACUCAUACCCCUGCAUAUACAAAAACUAAACCAAUCAAAAUAAGCUAAAUGUAUAGAAUUUAGUGCUUAGCAUGUGACCAUGUGCACACAGCAGACAACUCAAACAAUAAUAUGCACUAUUAUUACAACUAACAAGAGACUGGAAACUCACAUUUUUGGGGCAAACAACUGUUAACCUGCAACAUUCUGAUCCUCAUCACUAUCUCCGAAUGAUCGAUCUCUUCGCCCUCCGCUGCUUCUUUUCUCUGCAUGCAAAGCUCUGGGCAAUCGAACUUAUCAGCCAUGGGUAUCCAUCCGUUAGAAUGUUUCCCAUUACAUAUCCCACCACCAGUCCACUUCCGACUCCUGCUAAUAUGAACAUCCAAUCAAAACCACUCGGAAACUCAUAUGUAUCAUCAGAAUCACCCUCGUCGCCAUCGGCUGGUGGUGAGUGCACAGUUCCACAAUUCUUAGAUAUAGGAAAUCCAAAGAGUCCUGAAUUUCCUACAUAAGAAUUGUUGUCAAAUGUCCCAAAUUGCGAGCCUUGUGGUAUGUGACCACUGAGGAGGUUGUAGGACACGUUGAAGAAUUCAAGGGAAGUGAGCUGCGAUGCUAAUUGCUGAGGGAUGACCCCUGUGAGCUUGUUUUGCGAAAGGUCCAACGAUUCAAGCUUCGUAAGGUUUGCCAAGGAUCGGGGAAUGGGACCAGUGAGCUCAUUGUUUGACAGGUUGAGCAACUCAAGCUCCUUCAGAGUUCCAAGAGAUUCUGGAAUCUCACCUGUGAAAUUGUUACUUGAGAGAUCGAUAGCAGUGAGAAUAUUUAAAAUCUGCUUGUACUCCGUUUCUACACCCUUAUUCACAAGAGUUAUGGAGCUCUGCAGGUCUGGGUUACCCCAGAUGGAAGACCGUGUUUUAAACUUUAUAUUAGUCGUUAUAUAUAGUUCCGUAUCUGGACUAUUCAUUUUCAUCGCAUUCCAUAUCUUGAUAUACUCCACAGGCAAAACACCCGUCAAAGAGUUGUGAGAGACAUCAAUAAUCCGUAACAUUGGGAACUCUAAAGGACUUCUAGGACUUCCCAGUGCACCAUGAAAUUUGUUGGAAUGCAGAAAAAGGACUUGCAAUUGAGGAAGAGUCCCCAACCAGACGGGGAAAGUUUGUUCAAUCUGAUUAUCUGAUAGAUCUAAAAUCUGAAGCAUUUUACAACUUAUCAAAGAUCUUGGUACUUCUCCUUUAAGCUGGUUUUGACUCAAGUCAAUUUCCUCCAAAUCGCAAUCUUCUGAAUACAAUUGAGGAAUAGUUCCAGAAAAUUUGUUGCUUUGGAGACUAAGAGAUGCCAAAGAAUUACUCAAACAUGGAGGAAUAGGCCCACUCAUGUUGUUAUACGACAAGUCGAGUACUUUGAGGGACAUGCCACUACAGAUCAAGGGUGGAAUAUCUCCGGUCAAACUGUUGUUAGACACAAUGUACCGAAUGGUAUUUGGUGGUGGAACUGGGAGAUUCCCUUGCAACAUAUUAUUUCCUAUGUCAAUGACUUCUAGACUCUUAUUUGAGAAAACAGUCAGAUUAUGUUCAAUGGAUGUAAGGAAGUUAGAAGAAAGGUCAACUGCCUCUAGGUUAUCACUGACAUUCCAUAUCCAGUAUGGAAUUUUCCCAUGAAUAUUGUUUUCAUGCAGGAACAAAAACUCCAAAUUAUUUUUUAACUUCAAAAAAUAGGGGAUCUCUCUCAAGUUACAGCCAUUCAGUUGUAAUCCUCUAAGAGUUGGAAUGGUGAAGUUAAUGUGAUGGUGGGUAAUGAAGGUUAUAUUGUUGUCAGAUAGACUGAGAAACUCAAGCUUUUUAUGAGUGAAAAAAAUGUCAGCCUCUACUGUUCCAAUUAGAUUAUUGCCACUAAGAUCAAGAACUUCAAGGUUUUCGAGUUGAGAGAAUGAGCUCAAAAUUGGGCCUGUUAGUUCAUUAUUGGACAAACUUAACUCAAUUAAGUGGGUCAUGUUCGUCAGGCACACUGGUAUUUCGCCCGUAAAGUAAUUGGAAUCAAGAUAAAGAUAAGCAAGUUGGGUAAGGUUUGCAAGAGAUGAUGGGAUGUCACCAUGAAUAUUGGAAGAGUUAAGGUCCAAGUAAGUAAGUUUGGUUAAGUUGUCGAGCCAGGAAAUUUUUCUAGAUUUACUGAAGUUGUUAGAGGAAAGUGAUAGAUAAGUGAGUUGGGUCAAGUUAGCAAUAGAGGUAGGAAAUAAUCCUGAGAAGUAGCAGUCGUUGAGAUUCAAUAUAGCAAGUGACUGCAAAUUUCCGACUGAGAUUGGCAGGUGACCUGAGAAUUUGUUAUAGGAAAGUGAAAGAAGAGUGAGUUGGGUCAAGUUAGUAAUAGAGGUGGGAAUUGGUCCUGAGAAGUUGCAUGCUUUCAG